AUGCCUCGAUGUGCUUGGAACAACAAGUCCAUGAAUGAGCUUAUCAACGACCUUGGAGGUGAGCUCGUAAGUAUGUUUGUUCCUCCAGACAGCUGGGCUCUGACAGUUAUGGCAUGGAUGAAGAAGCCGUCCACCAUACCGAAGGUGAUUGGUGUUGAGAUACCGGUGCAGGAACCGGGGUCGUACUAUUCAUCGCCACCAAGGCCACCGCGGACCACAUUAGGGAUGUACCUGUAUCGAGUGUUCGUGCAUGUCGAAGAAGUGGUCAAUCCAUCAAUCAAAGUCCUGCCGCCGCCGCUGGUGCCCGGGUCCAUCGACGAAGUCCAUUACACGAGUCAACGUCGGACUUUCCCUGUGUUGCUCGGAACGAUGGAUGGCACAGGGCCUACUCCAUCACGCGGUGGAGGCCACUGCUUCUUUGGGAGAAGAGGCAGGGCUGGCUGCCUGGAUGUGCUCCAAUUUGAGGUAACAACUGAAUCUUGUCAGAUACUAGUUAAAUCCGAGCUAUGGGUGUGA
rnacentral:rRNA from 1 species